rnacentral:rRNA from 1 species
AGAGUUUGAUCAUGGCUCAGGAUGAACGCUAGCGGGAGGCCUAACACAUGCAAGCCGAGCGGUAGGUUUCCUUCGGGAGACUGAGAGCGGCGCACGGGUGCGGAACACGUGUGCAACCUGCCUUUAUCAGGGGGAUAGCCUUUCGAAAGGAAGAUUAAUACCCCAUAACAUUUUGAAUGGCAUCAUUUAAAAUUGAAAACUCCGGUGGAUAAAGAUGGGCACGCGCAGGAUUAGAUAGUUGGUAGGGUAACGGCCUACCAAGUCAACGAUCCUUAGGGGGCCUGAGAGGGUGAUCCCCCACACUGGUACUGAGACACGGACCAGACUCCUACGGGAGGCAGCAGUGAGGAAUAUUGGACAAUGGGUGAGAGCCUGAUCCAGCCAUCCCGCGUGAAGGACGACGGCCCUAUGGGUUGUAAACUUCUUUUGUAUAGGGAUAAACCUACUCUCGUGAGAGUAGCUGAAGGUACUAUACGAAUAAGCACCGGCUAACUCCGUGCCAGCAGCCGCGGUAAUACGGAGGGUGCAAGCGUUAUCCGGAUUUAUUGGGUUUAAAGGGUCCGUAGGCUGAUUUGUAAGUCAGUGGUGAAAUCUCACAGCUCAACUGUGAAACUGCCAUUGAUACUGCAAGUCUUGAGUGUUGUUGAAGUAGCUGGAAUAAGUAGUGUAGCGGUGAAAUGCAUAGAUAUUACUUAGAACACCAAUUGCGAAGGCAGGUUACUAAGCAACAACUGACGCUGAUGGACGAAAGCGUGGGGAGCGAACAGGAUUAGAUACCCUAGUAGUCC